UACGUAGGGUGCGAGCGUUGUCCGGAUUUAUUGGGCGUAAAGGGCUCGUAGGCGGCCUGUCGCGUCGGGAGUGAAAGCCCACUGCUUAACGGUGGGUCUGCUUCCGGUACGGGCGGGCUGGAGUAUGGCAGGGGAGACUGGAAUUCCUGGUGUAGCGGUGGAAUGCGCAGAUAUCAGGAGGAACACCGGUGGCGAAGGCGGGUCUCUGGGCCAUUACUGACGCUGAGGAGCGAAAGCGUGGGGAGCGAACAGGAUUAGAUACGGUAGUC
rnacentral:rRNA from 1 species